rfam:Erythrobacter sp. HI00D59 HI00D59_c2, whole genome shotgun sequence.
GCGCCCGUAGCUCAGCUGGAUAGAGCACCAGACUACGAAUCUGGGGGCCGGAGGUUCGAAUCCUUCCGGGCGCG